AUAAAAAAGCGAAAAUCUUAUAUACUCAUAAGUCAUGAGAUAUGCUACUUCUAUAUAUACAUUUUUAACAAAUAUACACUACUUAUGUUUCAUAUUUUUGAUUUUGACAUAUGUUCAAGCACUAGAUGUGGGAGCUUGGAAAUGCCCUGAAGGCAUCGUCUAUCCGAGUCCUAUCUCAGGAAGGUGCAUUAAUUCCAGGAGCACAGAGUGUAAAAAACACUAUGAAGUUGAGGGACAGAAUGUUACUAAUUGCCGUUGUGAUACUUAUAGCAUGCAAAAUCCUGCGAGGAUUACUUGCUACUGUUGCAAAGUUAAAUCAUAAUUGAUCAACGAAACAUCCAGAGACGGUUACUCUAUGCAAUAUACGACGGCAUUGGAUCUUUAUAUUGGAACAUCUACUAGAAAAUCAUGAUAUUUAGCAGUCCUCCCUUUUAUUUUCAUAUUAAUAUCACAUUAAUUAAGUUCCAACAAAUAGUAAUGGAUCAACUAAAUUAAACUCAAAGACUAGUUAAUAAGACCCAGUACAUCUUU